UUCCCUCUUUUGGGAUGAACACAGGUCUGCGCUUGCGAUUUCUUUUACUAACGAACAAAAAAGAUUUUUAAUUUUAUUCUACAGUUCCACACGUCCCUCUGUGAAAACAUGAUGGAGACAGAUGCAGGACGUGGGUCCUUUCGUGAACAAAUGUCAAUGGGGUGGAGACUGGUGAACGACUUCUGACCCCAUGUGAUGUAUUUACCUACUUUGCAUACUUUAUAAUUUUUUUUUAUUCUGCCUGUUAUGUGCAGCAAACAGUGAACUUGGUACCUCCACGUUCUAAUGACACACUACAUGCUUUUGUUUUUAUUUUUACUUUUCAGAGGACGCUCUGACCCAACACUCAGUCUUACAGGAAGCUCUGCUUCCCUGUGACUCAGACACAGACAUGAUGUAGUUUCGAACAGAGGAUGUGAACCAGUGGUCAUCACACCUAAAUCUGACCACAGACCAUGUAAACAACAACACCCUCCUAAAGGAAGCCAUAGAUGGCGUUACUGCAGACACCACUAAGCUACUGAAACAUUGGAUGCUACAGGCCACAAAUCGAGCCUGUCUAAAUUACAGUUUGUUCAAACAAAGGUGUUUUUCUGGGUCAUUGUAAUUACAGCUGAUGGCAAAUCCAUCUCACCCAACAGAGUUAAAGCAAUUUGAAACCUGCCUAAAUCGUGCACGUAAAAACAGCUGAUGUCUUUUCUAGGUCUUUGUUCUUAUUGUAGGACUUUCGUUCCUAACUUUACCUUCUCUGAGGCCCCACUCAGGGUUCUGAUGCAGAUGUCUUCAUCGUCCACUUCUUGUCUCACGUGGACGUCUGAGGCUGAACAACGUUCACUGACCUCAAGCUUGCUCUUCAGUCGGCUCCUACUUUGGGUCUCCCUGAUCUGACCCUACGCGACCUUUCACUCAAACAGUGGAUGAGAAAUCAGGUUGUAUGACUUCUGUUCUUUUGUCCUCAUACUUUGAUUCUUUUGGAAUAGAUUACAUCUUUCUACAGCCCGAUGGCUUAGAUGCAACACCACUUUGCUCAACAUGCUGACCAUUACUAUCAAGAGGUCGUCUUGAAGUCUGGCUCUUUGCUAAGACACUACUCUGCUCAGGCUGCAGAGUUGAUCGCGUUGACUGAAGCUAGUAAACUAGCAGAAGGAGAGUCUGUUACCAUCUACACAGACUCCACAGGUGCUCUGUGGAAGCAUAGGAAGUUUUUGAAGUCUAAUUGCAAACCUAUCUCACAUUAUGAUUAGGUUCUGCUUUGCUGGACGCUGUCCUGCCACCUACAGCUAAUGCUGUUUGUAACUGUCCGACUUACUUAGUUCAGGAAGAAGCACUGGGACUCCAAACGGUGGCGAGGCCCCUUCCAGGUCCUUCUGACGACCCACAGAGAUCGCAGAGAGAGCGACUUGGAUCCACUCCAUCUACUGCAGGAAGGUCCCAGAUCCGACAGACGACCCUCCAUCUACAUCUACACGGAGAAAACCACCACUGACGAAAGGAACUGAGAAGAACGACCCUCGCUGUGCUCACACACGCACUGAGGCGAGGCUGCGUUGACCAUUCAGCUAAAGGUGUGAGCCAAGCGCCGCCUGAAGCUGCGCCGGUGAAUCACACUAUCAGACCAACAUCUACACACACGCUCCUGAGAAAACACACACACGAGCAGCCUUGAGUUGCCGACGCUGGACGACGUGUAGACUCUUCACAUCACAGGAGUGACGGUGACUCAGACGACAUUGGGAGGAAACCUGGCAGUGAUAACAAAUCCCAAGUGUCUCUGUGAUCAGCUGAUCACAACCUGAAGAACCCCAACGAACUGUCAAUACUUCAACACACUAGUUGGAAACAAUCUAACGCUACUGGGGCCCAUUUCAAGAAGGAGGUUUAACAAACUCUGAGUUAAAACGAAACUCUGAGUUGAUCUAAUCUGAGUUUGCAAACCUGGAGUUUUCGGUUCCAGAACAGCUGAAAAGAGUUGGUUUAAGCAACUCUGAGUUGACUGACUCAGAGUUAAGCACGUGCACCGCGACGAUACAAAGCCCUGAUCAAUGGAGUGAAGAUAUUACGAGUCACCAUGGCAACAGGACAACAAAAGACGUCCGGAAAUGGAUAUGAUACGUCAAGCAUAUAACGACUACGAGUCUAUAUUCCGUAGAAAAGGCAACACGGCUGCAGCGGCGAAAGAGAAAGAAUUAGCUUGGAAGAAAAUAGCUCCUCGAGUCAAUGCCCAACAGAAAGAAGGCAGAGGCUAGAACAACUGGUGGAGGACCUGCACCUCCACCUCUGACGCAUGCAGAGGAGAAGGCCCUCAGCCUGAACACUGGAGAGAGGCUGAGGCUGAAGGAAUUCAUCAGAACCCGUCACUCCCCAGGAUACAUGUGCAUGUGUAAAAUGUAAGAGGUCUACCUAUAUAUUUGAUUUUUUACAUAGGCUACUUUUGAUAUAUCCAUUUCUUAGUUUCUUUUACUUUUCUUAGAGUCUGGGCUGGGUUCUUUGUUGGUCUUAACAGAUUCUGAUGGUAAUAUAUGAAUCCUCCUGUCACAACAGAGGCCCAGGAUGUUAGUGUGGAAGAACAGCAGGAGGAGGUCAGUCACAUUCUGCUGCACAGAUGCACACAGUUCAGUGAUGUUCAGUAAAUGCCAGAGUUCAAUUCUGUAAGAGUAAAGAGGAACAUGUCAUUUCAAGAUGUCAUGUAACUCUAA